CGCGAAACUCCCGCCGGCGCCGUUCUCGAUCCGAGGAAGCUGAGUGUAUACGAGCUAAAGUGAAAAGACCUGUCCGUAUUUUAAUUGUGAAUCGUUAAUUACUGUCGUAGAUUACUUAAAAGGUCCCCGCCUGUGUCGUGUACCUUCUUUUUUGGAAAAAAAAGAACUUUUUUGACAUUUAUAUUCUGUGAAAUUACAUUUCGUGUGGUCAUCAUUUUACAGCGACUUAUUGCAUUAUUCAAUAAUAUACAUUCAUAUAUAUAUAUGGUUAUAGCGGAAUUUUAUACCCUCGUCAUGCCCUUACGAAGCCGGAAGUGUGUGAUAUAAAGCAAUGCCGCCGCUACCACUACCACCACCACCAACACAACCAUUGUGUAAAAAUGCCAGUGAGUGUGUUUCAUUCAGUGAAUAUCAAAAUCGUUCAUCAAAAAGUUGAGCAUGGCAAAAGUAGAGUGAAUUUUUGUCAUCACAUUACUUAAAAACGACAAAUUUUAAACUUCAAUUUUAUCAUACUAAUUUUUGCAAAAAAAAAA